CCGCCCGCGGUCCACGCCCUCCGCCGCGCCGCGCCGCUGCGCACAGGUAACGUGUGGCAGGAAGUGGCUGUCAACGCCGUCGAUGUUGUUGUAGUGUGUAAGGAAAUGCAGCGGCGUAUCUGAGAGAUAAAAGGGCUGUUUGUUUGUUUUUUACUCCAUUUUUUUUUUGUCCCGUAACGUUUCACUUUUUUGAGGAACAGGAAAAUCCACCUUUUUGGUGACGAUGCGGCUGUGUGAGACCUGCGCGCUCCUGGGGCUUUUGUUUUUGACAAUCUUCAAGUCAUCAGAAUGCCUACAGACGGUGGUCCGACCAGACAAAGGCUCGAUAGUGACAGUGUCCACUGACCUGCCUUUGGAUCAAUGUGCUGUGUGCAGAGUCAGCGGCGAGAAUGACACACAGACUUCCUGCCACUCCUCUAUCACCUUGGUACCCGAAGAGGAAUCCAAGCUGCUGUUCAACUGCUCCCAGCCGAUUGAACAAUCUUACGCUGUCACAAUAACUCGCACCAUUGAAUGCUCUAAGGAAGCCUGCAGUCCGACAACAGUAGAAACUCAACCCUCCAUCCUCACAGAGUUCACCAGAACCUUCACCUGGGAACUGAAGGCACCUGAGAAGACAGUUGUGAGUCUGGACAUCCUUGGGGAGGGACUGAUAGAGACAUCACAGCCAUGUCCUAAUGGAUUGCAGUAUUCAGUGGCCAAAUCCAAAACAAACAGCAAGGGUCGGACUCAGUACUGUCGAGGUGGUUCUGUGACUCGUUUAGACCUGGGCAAUCAAGCUGCCGUGUCUCUGCGAGUUAAACCAAAGGCUCAGGUGGAAUCCGUGUUGUUUCAGGCCUCCGCCGAACCAUUAAAGGGCCGAACGAUGGUUAUAACUGUUGAUUCCAGCACGACUGUGGUCAUCAGCCGGGAUCCUGAGGGACCAGAGUGUGACGUGUGCACAGUUGACGGCUCCACUAUGAACUGUAGCCCAACAGAAAAGAUACUGACCAACACUGAAAAACUCUCGCUGGAGUUCAGCUGCCCGAAACCUCAGGAUAUGUACAGUGUGAAGAUGAAGAAGAAAAUAGAAUGCACCCAGAGCUCCUGCACUCCUGCGGCAGGAGAAGUCCAUCCCAAUCUGUUGAAGGACUUCAAAAGAUACCUAACCUGGGACGUUAGUGUCCCAGAGAGGACUGUAUUAAGUUUGGACUUCCCUGGUGAUGGACUGAAGGAGAUUUCUGAAACAGAAAACUGCCAAGAUGGCUAUCAGUACUCAGUGAGCACAACCAAAAGUGACGGAAACAUCAAAACUAACAGCUACUGCAAAGGCGGGACGAUGUCUCAUCUGGAUCUGCUUGGAGCGACGACUGUGACUGUUGAAGUGCCCAAAGGAGGAGAACUGGACCAGACGGCAUUCGAUGUCAAAGCAGCACCAAGAGGUGGCAGAAUGAUGUCCGUGACCCCUGACCCUAACACCAUCAUUAACAUCAACAGGGUGACCAACGAGCCAGACUGCAGUGUGUGCGUGAACAAGUCAUCCAAACAGAUAUGCAACCAAAGACAAUUAAGAAUUACUGAUCCUCGCAACACCUCAGUAGAGUUUACCUGUCCUCGACCUCAGGAUAUUUUCAGUGUGGAGAUCAACAGAGAAAUUGACUGCACAGAGAUCUCCUGCUCUGGUGACAUUGUACAGGCCGAGUCCUCACUGUUCCCAGACUUCAACCGGACCUUCACCUGGGACCUGAAAGUUGUCUCCACUCGGGCUUUUCAACUGGACUUCCCAGAAACAGGAAUGCGACAGAUUCCCAACGAGGAGACCUGUCCAGAUGAGCACACAUACAUACUUGUUACAUAUCUGCGCACUGGGCCAGCAGCCAUUGGUACCUUUUGCAAAGGGGGAACUGUGACCACCAUCCUGGUACGAUACAAGGGCCGUGUGUCUCUGAAAGUGCCUGGGGACAAAAAGCUGGACCCUGUUGACUUCAAACUCAAAGUGGGGCCUGAGACCAGCAUGGUGGCCAUAGUGAAAGUCAAUCUACCACAAGGUGUAUCAGACACAGCCUUCAUCACAGCUAACUAUCCCAGGGAUUUCCCUGAUGACCACCAGAUGCGGUGGGACUUCACGGUGCCCGGCAUGCACAACUAUACGGUGCGUUUUCAUAAUCACACAGCCCCAGAGUGCCUCAGCAGGGAAGUUGAGGUGGAGUACCAGAAAGAGGACAAGAAGGUGACCAAACUGACACUGACAGAUCCUCAGCCAGAGCAUCAGCAGGGCAACUUCAACAUGGUGCUCAAGAAUUGUGAAACCAACAGGACGCUACAAGGACUCACAUUGACGUACAGAGUUUCUGUAAUGAGGAGUGGUCAUCCAGUUCUCUGUACUGUGGAUCUAACCAAACGGCAAGGAGUGUCCCUGCAGAUAGAGAAAAUGGUUUCUGAUCCAUAUUGUGAGAUGAGGAUUAACUCCAAGGUUGAAGAGAAGAUAAAUGUGGCUCCAGGCACAAAGGCCAGCCUCUCCUUCCUCGACUGUCCAAAUGAAGAUGUUCGCCUGACUGCCACUGAAGUUGUCGGUUGCCAAAACGUGCCGUCAUGCUCUGCGACUCUCCUCACUGUGCCCAAACUGGAUUCCUGUCUACCGAUGCCCCUCCACAGCUAUACCUGGCGCCUCAACAUCCCUCAGGACAGCACGGUGGAUCUGGUGUCGCCCACAGGGAGUCUCCGGCAGUCCCUGCCUGGCCAGGAGUGCAAUCAGUCCUUCUCAUUGCACGUGACAGAGGAGGAUGGGUUUCCUGUCGGAGAUUUCUGCUUUAAUGGAUUCAUCCAAAAAAUUCAGGUGCACGCCAACGUCUCCGUCACAGCUACAGCAAACGACUUCAGCAAGACCAGGGGGCCUUUUCUCAAUGUCAGCUUCAGUAAGGAGAUCCCAGAGACCAUUAUUUACAGAGUCAGCCCUAAGAUGUCGUCUCCGAACCUGCUGGCCACCCCCAACUGGCCUCAGGGAAUGAAGCCUUCCUCCACCGUGUCCUGGAUCGUCACUCUGCCAAGCCGGUACCGGGCAAACGUGCAUUUCCUCAACGUCAGCCAGCCCAAAUGCCUCGACUGGCACACCGCCAUCACGGUGAAGAUGCUGGGGUACGAGGAGGAGAUCAUGAGCCGCAGGGAGGACGAGCAGGCGGAGGACAAGCUAUUGGUCCCAGAGAGCUUCUAUCUCAACAUGUCCAACUGUAUACCAGAAGAGGGACACUUCGGUGCAGUGACCAAAAUCGUUCUGCAGAAGAAGACCAAUCUCUUGGCCAUCCUCCUCGGGAUAGCAGGAGCCCUUUUGGUUUUGCUGAUAGUGCUGGCUGUAGUGUGCGUCAUCACAAAGAAAAAGAAAAAAGAGAGAAUGUACAAGGAGUCCUCCAUCUACAUCGGCAAAGGGAGUAUCUUCCACCCGGGUGACAGGCACUUCACCAAAAGCCGAUCUGACAACGAGUCCCAUGUCUACGCCUCCAUAGAUGAGAUGAUGGUGUACGGACAUCUACUGGACGACUCCAGCUACGCGGACAGCAUGCAAGACCAUUUCAAAGGGAUUCAGGUGGACUCUUAUCAGACAUUUACAGGCCCCACUGACGGACAGCUGCCUGUAAUCAAAGAACCAGAUCCGGAGCCCGAGAUUGGCCAGUACAAGACGUUCCUGGACCCCUCUGAGACUUUCAUCCCAUCCCGUCCACGCACUCCCAUCGACCGGCAGGACAGCCUCGGCUUCCAGGACCGCAGGAUGGUGGACAAUGAACUAUACACGUUCAAGACUACAGGGGACAUAAACACGAUCCGGCUCUCCGGUGCUGAUAUGGAGCCCCAGCCGCCGAUAACAGAGGAGUCCCUGUAGUGUGUUAGGACUGUAGCUGCAUGAUGGACCGCUGUUUCUCUACUCUCAUUACAGCACUGAGUAUCUCUGGUCUGGACUGAUGUGAACCUCUGUGCCUCGAGCACAAACAGUGAAUCUGAGUUUGAUUAACUUUUGAUGUGGUGUUCGUUGUCUUUGUCAGAACUCAGUCAUUUCCAAAGCUUCAAGAGUAGAAGCGGUGAGCUUUGUCUUUAAAGGAGGAGUUCUACAUUUUGGGAGAUUAUUGUUUUGAUUUCCUGCAGAGAGUAAGACGAGAAGAUCGAUUCCAACCUCAUGUCUGUUUAUUUAAUACGAAGCUCCUGCCGGCAGCUGGUUAGUUUAGCUUAUCUUACCGUAAAGGCUGUUUGAGCACCUCAUAAGCUUAUUAAUUGUCAUGUUAUAUCUUAUUUGUUUGUAAUCUGUGCAGUGACUCCUUGGAGUCCUAUUUAACGUACAAACAUGGGGAUUAUAUCGAUCUUCUUAUCUAACUCUCAGCAAGGAAGCAGAAAGCGUAUUUUCCCAAAAUGUCACACUAGUCCUUUUAAUUUUUCUUUUUUUUUUAGCUUUAUUAAAUGUCUGACCAUAAGACAUGGAUUCAGGAGCAAGGAUUAUGGAAAAAAAUAUGUAAAUGGCUUGGUGUGGAAACAGUUUACUUCUUGAGGCAACAGCUGCCAUCACCCACUAAAGCAGUGACAUUCAAUUUUCCCUCUUAUGCUGAGAACAUUGACCUUUUUGCAUUGUGGAUGGUGAAAACAUCUUCAACCUCAGCAACUCCCAGCCAAGAAAAACAGUGUGAAGAAGGGUGUGGAAGAGGAGGCUGCUGACCGCAGAGCAGCAGCUAGUGUUUACCAUGGAGGAGUGUGUCUCACUGGAAAACAAUAAGUGCAGACGCCAGGUUUACGCAGUUGCUUCAAAUGUUUUUUGCAGUCUGAAUUUCUGCUUUUUUUUUUUUUCCCUUUUCUUUCAGUUUUGAGCCUUUUGACAUUAGAGAGAGACAUUUUGGGUGUUACACCAUAUUCUGUGCUCACCGCGAAGUGUGACAGCAGGGCACUCUCACAUGUUACUCUGUAUGAGUGGUUGUUGCUAUUAAUGUUUGUCGGUCUUUUGAAAUGGGCGAAUGGUUGGUGAAGUACCUGACUAUAUUGGGAUAUUGCUUUUUUUUGUUUUGUCUCAGGCACAGUAGGGUCAAAAUUAGUGGCACAGGUCUUCAAAAUGCUGUGCUUGGAAAUUGAACAGCUUCACUCUGCUGUGCAUCCGUUGACGUUUACGUGAAAACUAAAAAAAAUUUUUUUUUUUUAAAUCUGCCUCCAUUAAUUAUCAAGUGCUUGGAAUUUCUCACACCUUCUUCAAAGACUGAAUGACACCAAAAAGAUCUAUCGGGGGUCAACAGAAGCACAAUUGCCUGACACAGGCGAGCAGAAACUGUGACCCCACUGUGCCUUGAAAUCGGACAGACAUAUAUAGCACCUAAAUAUAGUCAGGUACCUGGCCUUUCUUUCGCCCAUCUUAAAGACUGAAUAAUGUUAACACACAAAGUAACAUCCACCCAACAGCGCCCCCCCCUGUAGACACACUGUACACUGAUUGCAGAGUAUGGUGUAUCACUGGACUAUUUCUCAGCCAGGACUGGUCGUGGCCAAGAGAAAGUCCAGUGCAUUAACUCUUCUAUUGUUCCCAGUUUGUUGUUUUUAUUGCAUGUAUUGUUACCACUGGACCGAGCUAGGCCAAAUGUUUUCCCCGUUUCCAGUGUUUGUGCCAAGAAGAAACUGAAACUGAAGAAACUGUUAACUGGCUGCAGCUUCAUAUUUACCAUAAUAAUAAGAGUGGUAUCGAUCAAACACUCGGCAAAGAACGAAAAAAAGUGUUUUUCCCAAAAUGACAAACCUUUUGUUUUAAAAAAAAAAAAAAAGACAAUAGAGGAAUAUAAUUUUUGUAUUUAUUCAUGGUCUUUU